rnacentral:rRNA from 1 species
AGAGUUUGAUCCUGGCUCAGGAUGAACGCUGGCGGCGUGCUUAACGCAUGCAAGUCGAACGGGAAACCUUUUAUUGAAGCUUCGGCAGAUUUAGCUGGUUUCUAGUGGCGGACGGGUGAGUAACGCGUGGGCAACCUGCCCUAUACAGGGGGAUAACAACCAGAAAUGACUGCUAAUACCGCAUAAGACCACGGAGCUGCAUGGCUCAGUGGGAAAAACUCCGGUGGUAUGAGAUGGACCCGCGUCUGAUUAGGUAGUUGGUGGGGUAACGGCCUACCAAGCCAACGAUCAGUAGCCGACCUGAGAGGGUGACCGGCCACAUUGGGACUGAGACACGGCCCAAACUCCUACGGGAGGCAGCAGUGGGGAAUAUUGCACAAUGGGGGAAACCCUGAUGCAGCGACGCCGCGUGAGCGAAGAAGUAUUUCGGUAUGUAAAGCUCUAUCAGCAGGGAAGAAAAUGACGGUACCUGACUAAGAAGCACCGGCUAAAUACGUGCCAGCAGCCGCGGUAAUACGUAUGGUGCAAGCGUUAUCCGGAUUUACUGGGUGUAAAGGGAGCGUAGACGGCUGUGUAAGUCUGAAGUGAAAGCCCGGGGCUCAACCCCGGGACUGCUUUGGAAACUAUGCAGCUAGAGUGUCGGAGAGGUAAGUGGAAUUCCCAGUGUAGCGGUGAAAUGCGUAGAUAUUGGGAGGAACACCAGUGGCGAAGGCGGCUUACUGGACGAUGACUGACGUUGAGGCUCGAAAGCGUGGGGAGCAAACAGGAUUAGAUACCCUGGUAGUCCACGCCGUAAACGAUGACUACUAGGUGUCGGGGAGCAAAGCUCUUCGGUGCCGCAGCAAACGCAAUAAGUAGUCCACCUGGGGAGUACGUUCGCAAGAAUGAAACUCAAAGGAAUUGACGGGGACCCGCACAAGCGGUGGAGCAUGUGGUUUAAUUCGAAGCAACGCGAAGAACCUUACCUGCUCUUGACAUCCCGGUGACCGGCAUGUAAUGAUGCCUUUUCUUCGGAACACCGGUGACAGGUGGUGCAUGGUUGUCGUCAGCUCGUGUCGUGAGAUGUUGGGUUAAGUCCCGCAACGAGCGCAACCCUUAUCUUCAGUAGCCAGCAUUUUGGAUGGGCACUCUGGAGAGACUGCCAGGGAUAACCUGGAGGAAGGUGGGGAUGACGUCAAAUCAUCAUGCCCCUUAUGAGCAGGGCUACACACGUGCUACAAUGGCGUAAACAAAGGGAAGCGAGCCUGCGAGGGUAAGCAAAUCUCAAAAAUGACGUCUCAGUUCGGAUUGUAGUCUGCAACUCGACUACAUGAAGCUGGAAUCGCUAGUAAUCGCGAAUCAGCAUGUCGCGGUGAAUACGUUCCCGGGUCUUGCACUCACCGCCCGUCA